UACGUAGGGAGCAAGCGUUGUCCGGAAUCAUUGGGCGUAAAGCGCGCGCAGGCGGCCCUGUGCGCUGCCGGUGAAAGCUCCCGGCUUACCUGGGAGAGGUUCGGCAGGACGGCAGGGCUGGAGGGUGGGAGAGGUCGGUGGAAUUCCUGGUGUAGCGGUGAAAUGCGCAGAUAUCAGGAAGAACACCCGUGGCGAAGGCGGCUCUCUGGGACGGUACUGACGCUGAGACGCGAAAGCGUGGGGAGCGAACAGG
rnacentral:rRNA from 1 species